AUUGAACGCUGGCGGCAGGCCUAACACAUGCAAGUCGAGCGGAUGAAGGGAGCUUGCUCCUGGAUUCAGCGGCGGACGGGUGAGUAAUGCCUAGGAAUCUGCCUGGUAGUGGGGGAUAACGUCCGGAAACGGGCGCUAAUACCGCAUACGUCCUGAGGGAGAAAGUGGGGGAUCUUCGGACCUCACGCUCUCAGAUGAGCCUAGGUCGGAUUAGCUAGUUGGUGGGGUAAAGGCCUACCAAGGCGACGAUCCGUAACUGGUCUGAGAGGAUGAUCAGUCACACUGGAACUGAGACACGGUCCAGACUCCUACGGGAGGCAGCAGUGGGGAAUAUUGGACAAUGGGCGAAAGCCUGAUCCAGCCAUGCCGCGUGUGUGAAGAAGGUCUUCGGAUUGUAAAGCACGUUAAGUUGGGAGGAAGGGCAGUAAGUUAAUACCUUGCUGUUUUGACGUUACCAACAGAAUAAGCACCGGCUAACUUCGUG
rnacentral:rRNA from 1 species